rnacentral:rRNA from 1 species
GCGGAGGGAUCAUUACCGAGUUUACAACUCCCAAACCCCUGUGAACAUACCACUUGUUGCCUCGGCGGAUCAGCCCGCUCCCGGUAAAACGGGACGGCCCGCCAGAGGACCCCUAAAACUCUGUUUCUAUAUGUAACUUCUGAGUAAAACCAUAAAUAAAUCAAAACUUUCAACAACGGAUCUCUUGGUUCUGGCAUCGAUGAAGAACGCAGCAAAAUGCGAUAAGUAAUGUGAAUUGCAGAAUUCAGUGAAUCAUCGAAUCUUUGAACGCACAUUGCGCCCGCCAGUAUUCUGGCGGGCAUGCCUGUUCGAGCGUCAUUUCAACCCUCAAGCACAGCUUGGUGUUGGGACUCGCGUUAAUUCGCGUUCCUCAAAUUGAUUGGCGGUCACGUCGAGCUUCCAUAGCGUAGUAGUAAAACCCUCGUUACUGGUAAUCGUCGCGGCCACGCCGUUAAACCCCAACUUCUGAAUGUUGACCUCGGAUCAGGUAGGAAUACCCGCUGAACUUAAGCAUAUCAAU